AUUGAACGCUGGCGGCAUGCCUUACACAUGCAAGUCGAACGGCAGCACGGGGGCAACCCUGGUGGCGAGUGGCGAACGGGUGAGUAAUACAUCGGAAUGUACCCAGUAGUGGGGGAUAACUAGUCGAAAGAUUAGCUAAUACCGCAUACGCACUAUGGUGGAAAGCGGGGGAUCGCAAGACCUCGCGCUAUUGGAGCAGCCGAUGUCCGAUUAGGUAGUUGGUGGGGUAAAAGCCUACCAAGCCUGCGAUCGGUAACUGGUCUGAGAGGACGACCAGUCACACUGGGACUGAGACACGGCCCAGACUCCUACGGGAGGCAGCAGUGGGGAAUUUUGGACAAGUGGGGGAAACCCUGAUCCAGCAAUGCCGCGUGCGUGACGAAGGCCUCGGUUGUAAGCACUUUGGCGGGAACGGAAACGGCGCUUCUAAUACAGAGUGCUAAUGACGGUACCCGCAGAAUAAGCACCGGCUAACUACGUCGCCACGCAGCCGCGGUAAUGCUACG
rnacentral:rRNA from 1 species